AGUGAACGCUGGCGGUAGGCCUAACACAUGCAAGUCGAACGGCAGCACAGGAGAGCUUGCUCUCUGGGUGGCGAGUGGCGGACGGGUGAGGAAUACAUCGGAAUCUACUCUGUCGUGGGGGAUAACGUAGGGAAACUUACGCUAAUACCGCAUACGACCUACGGGUGAAAGCAGGGGACCUUCGGGCCUUGCGCGAUUGAAUGAGCCGAGGUCGGAUUAGCUAGUUGGCGGGGUAAAGGCGCACCGAGGCGCCGAUCCGUAACUGGUCUGAGAGGAUGAUCAGCCACACUGGAACGUAGACACGGUCCAGACUCCUACGGGAGGCAGCAGUGGGGAAUAUUGUACAAUGGGCGCAAGCCUGAUCCAGCCAUACCGCGUGGGUGAAGAAGGCCUUCGGGUUGUAAAGCCCUUUUGUUGGGAAAGAAAUCCAGCUGGCUAAUACCCGGUUGGGAUGACGGUACCCAAAGAAUAAGCACCGGCUAACUUCGUGCCAGCCGCCGCGGUAA
rnacentral:rRNA from 1 species